rnacentral:sRNA from 1 species
UGACUUAGCCUCAGUAUUCCGUCAUAGA